rnacentral:rRNA from 1 species
AGCGAACGCUGGCGGCAGGCCUAACACAUGCAAGUCGAACGAACCCUUCGGGGUUAGUGGCGGACGGGUGAGUAACACGUGGGAACGUGCCUUUAGGCUCGGAAUAACUCAGGGAAACUUGUACUAAUACCGAAUGUGCCCUUCGGGGGAAAGAUUUAUCGCCUUUAGAGCGGCCCGCGUCUGAUUAGCUAGUUGGUGAGGUAAUGGCUCACCAAGGCUACGAUCAGUAGCUGGUCUGAGAGGAUGACCAGCCACAUUGGGACUGAGACACGGCCCAGACUCCUACGGGAGGCAGCAGUGGGGAAUCUUGCGCAAUGGGCGAAAGCCUGACGCAGCCAUGCCGCGUGGAUGAUGAAGGUCUUAGGAUUGUAAAAUCCUUUCACCGGUGAAGAUAAUGACUGUAGCCGGAGAAGAAGCCCCGGCUAACUUCGUGCCAGCCGCCGCCGUAAUAC